rnacentral:rRNA from 1 species
GAUGAACGCUGGCGGCGUGCCUAAUACAUGCAAGUCGAGCGAACAGACGAGGAGCUUGCUCCUCUGACGUUAGCGGCGGACGGGUGAGUAACACGUGGAUAACCUACCUAUAAGACUGGGAUAACUUCGGGAAGCCGGAGCUAAUACCGGAUAACAUGUUGAACCGCAUGGUUUAACAGUGAAAGACGGUCUUGCUGUCACUUAUAGAUGGAUCCGCGCCGCAUUAGCUAGUUGGUAAGGUAACGGCUUACCAAGGCAACGAUGCGUAGCCGACCUGAGAGGGUGAUCGGCCACACUGGAACUGAGACACGGUCCAGACUCCUACGGGAGGCAGCAGUAGGGAAUCUUCCGCAAUGGGCGAAAGCCUGACGGAGCAACGCCGCGUGAGUGAAGAAGGUCUUCGGAUCGUAAAACUCUGUUAUUAGGGAAGAACAAAUGUGUAAGUAACUAUGCACGUCUUGACGGUACCUAAGCAGAAAGCCACGGCUAACUACGU